AUUGAACGCUGGCGGCCGGCCUAACACAUGCAAGUCGAACGGAGUGGCGGACGGGUGAGUAAUGUAUGGGAAACUGCCUGAGGGAGGUGGAUAACGUCCGGAAACGGGCGCUAAUACCGCAUACUAUCAGAUGAGCCUAGGUCGGAUUUGCUAGUUGGGGGGGUAAAGGCCUACCAAGGCGACUAUCCGUAACUGGUCUGAGAGGAUGAUCAGGCACACUGGAACUGAGACACGGUCCAGACUCCUACGGGAGGCAGCAGUGGGGAAUAGUGGACAAUGGGCGAAAGCCUGAUCCAGCCAGGCCGCGUGUGUGAAGAAGGUCUUCGGAUUGUAAAGCACUUUAAGUUGGGAGGCGUUACCAACAGAAUAAGCACCGGCUAACUUCGUGCCAGCAGCCGCGGUAAUUC
rnacentral:rRNA from 1 species